GUCCACGCCCUAAACGAUGUCAACUGGUUGUUGGGUCUUCACUGACUCAGUAACGAAGCUAACGCGUGAAGUUGACCGCCUGGGGAGUACGGCCGCAAGGUUGAAACUCAAAGGAAUUGACUGGGACCCCGCACAAGCGGUGGAUGAUGUGGUUUAAUUCGAUGCAACGCGAAAACCUUACCCACCUUUGACAUGUACGGAAUUCGCCAGAGAUGGCUUAGUGCUCGAAAGAGAGCCGUAACACAGGUGCUGCAUGGCUGUCGU
rnacentral:rRNA from 1 species